rnacentral:rRNA from 1 species
GACGAACGCUGGCGGCGUGCUUAACACAUGCAAGUCGAACGAAGUGGCGAACGGGUGAGUAACGCGUAAUCAACCUGCCCUUCAGAGGGGGACAACAGUUGGAAACGACUGCUAAUACCGCAUACUGUAGGAGGGGAUUGCGUCUGAUAAGCUAGUUGGAGGGGUAACGGCCCACCAAGGCGAUGAACAGUAGCCGGUCUGAUAGGAUGAACGGCCAAAUUGGGACUGAGACACGUCCCAGACGCCUACGGGAGGCAGCAGUGGGGAAUCUUCCGCAAUGGACGAAAGUCUGACGAAGCAACGCCGCGGGAGUGAGGACGGCCUUCGGGUUGUAAAGCUCUGUUAAGCGGGACGCGGUACCGGAAUAGAAAGCCACGGCUAACUACGUGCCAGCAGCCGCGGUAAUAC